rnacentral:rRNA from 1 species
CCUACGGGAGGCAGCAGUGAGGAAUAUUGGUCAAUGGGCGCGAGCCUGAACCAGCCAAGUAGCGUGAAGGAUGACUGCCCUACGGGUUGUAAACUUCUUUUAUAAAGGAAUAAAGUGAGGCACGUGUGCCUUUUUGUAUGUACUUUAUGAAUAAGGAUCGGCUAACUCCGUGCCAGCAGUCGCGGUAAUACGGAGGAGCCGAGCGUUAUCCGGAUUUAUUGGGUUUAAAGGGAGCGUAGAGGGGUUGUUAAGUCAGUUGUGAAAGUUUUCGGCUCAACCGUAAAAUUGCAAUUUAUACGGGCAGCCUUGAUUACAGUUGAGGUAGGCGGAAUUCGUGGUGUAGCGGUCAAAUGCUUAGAUAUCACG